UUGCAACCGAGGCGCUCACGGUGGGGCCGGCGCUAGGGGAGGGCCGAUGGGGAGAAAGUGUCUCAGUGGAGGGCGAGAGUGAUUUAUUCCUUGGGAUCCUCGCGAGGAGGACUUUGAUGCUGGACUCCCCAAAAUACCUUUGCAGGGCCCCCUCCCUCCCGCCCCCCCAUACUGCCCCUCCUCGAAACCUUGGGCAGUUGCCCUAAACGGCCUCCUCCCUUCGCCCUCCGGGAGGCUGGAGUUUGGGCAGCCGGGUCUCGCGGCUCCCAGCCUCCGCGCGCCGCCGACCCGCGUCUGCGUCCUCAUUACCACUACAAAGCCGGGCAGACGUCGCCUCUUUCCAGAGCUGCGCUUUCAGCUGCGAACAUCAAGAGGCCAGAAAAGUUCCAAGUGGGCCUGAGGAUGCAGACGCCGCCUCGGUCCUGGCUUUAUCUCUAGGGAAAGUUCCAUUUUAAGAACCAGAUGCCAACAUUCCCGGACAGUUUAUGGGAUCCGGAUCCCUCGGGGUGCGCAUCCGCGGCUUAGAGUGUUAGCAGCAAUUAUUUAUCGUCUGCCCUGGAGAGGAGGUCCUGAACACGGCUGUCCUCGGCGGACCCUGGGGGUGGGGGUGGGGUGGGGACACACGACUGUUCCCGCCGAUCCAGUUAUCUGGUUUAGCAGAGUUUGUUGUGGUUUUCGAGGAAACAGCAUCUGGGUUACAUAAGGAUUCAAGUUUUUGCUUUGCUUGUUUAUUUAAUACCUUGGCAAGAGGGAACCCUUACUCUGAAACCAGAUAACCGAAUUUGGGUUUAAAACAGCCUUCGAUGAGGGGCAACGAGAGGGGAAGAAAAUGAACCAAACCACAAAAAGUAAACAAGGGGAUGUUUAUUUUUCUCCCUUUGGGUAGUUUUGAAGACCUGCCUAACCUCUUAUUUCUCGUCGCUCACAGCUAAUAAAUUGCAUUAACAAAGCGCUUCAGCUACUACCGUGGCUUAGCGGGCAUCCCUCCCCCGCGCUGCCCCCACCCCGGCCCUAAUUCCUUCUAGGAUUCGCUCGCGGUCCUGUUUGCCCAGAGAUCUCAAGAGCACCAGGAAAAACGGCGUGCUAAAUCCAAUUGCCUUCAACCGUCUGAUCUCCUUGUAGGGAGAUCACCUUUCAGCCCCGUUCAAAGAAAGCAAAGUUUGGAAAGUUUGGCGGAGGGGCCGAUUUAACUACCAGCACGGCAAAUAUUUAGUUACAAACGCUGUGAGGUGCCCCGAUUUGUGGCCGCGUUUGGCUUUCACAAAGGAUUUUCCUGUGACUUUUGUUCCGGUCACCAAAUUAAAAAAGAAAAUUAACUUGAGCGAGAGAUAAGAGCUUGGAAAACAACCCCCGGCCGCCCGCGAGCUGGCGGGCGCGGGGCUGGCGUCGCCGAGUCUGCGCCGCCCAGAGGCGCGCGUUGCGGGGGUCCGGCCCCCGCGGGGAGCCCGGGUCAUCGCUCGGACCCCGGGCCGCCGCCCACCGUGCGCCCCCCUCGCGGCACGCAGCGCCCCGGUCGCCGGGCUGCCCGCCGGCGUCCGUGGGAAACCGCGGUAACCCUCUCCGGCCAGCGACAAGGGCGGGCUUGUCCGGAAUCAGGCUGCAUUUUAAUAUUAUAAUACGGCCCCCAAAGCAAAACUCGCGGCCCCGGUUGCGAGUCUCUAACAAGAAACACAUUGUGCGCCUUUUCUUUUUUUUUCCGCCUUUUUGGCCGAAGCCACAUUGGCGCGCUGGCCACGGUACUGUGAGCCAAGUCCAUGACUUCAGAGGGGAGGAACCCGCCUGCCCCGCACCACGUGCGCGCCCGGCCCGGAUGGCCACCCCGCCGCGCCCUGCCGCCCUGUCCCGCCGACAGGUCAGGGGCUCCGGCCGGGGCCGGGGCCCGCUCGGAGGACACUCGUCCUGCGCCCGCGGCGCUCUGGCCCCUGCCUUUUCCCGACCCGGGGAGGUACCCAGGAGCCGCCAGUGCGGGCGGCUGGUGGACGGGCUUUAUUUUAAAAAACUUUGACAGCCUUCUAUCUCCCCCACCCCCAAGUCCUUGGGGCUUUUACGCCCAGGUUCUACCAUCCCUCUUCCCUAAAAAGUACAAUUUACAGUAGACCUUCUCUCAGCUGGAAAUAGCCCGAGGGUUCUGCAAGCCCUCUGACCCCUGUCCCAUGUCACUGCUGUCCCUGUCCAGAGGAGGUGACAGGAUCUAGGGCUGCAUUUUCAGGGAGGAGAGACAGAUGCUGCCUCCAUUUUACAGGAGAAGCUGAGGCAUAGAAGAACAACAGACGCCUCUGUGAGCCCACACUCCCUAGAAUGGUACCUGUGAUGAUCCAGAGGUGUGUGACCUUGACCUCAGGUAUUAACACCAAGGGACUGAGCCUGACUCUCUAUUGACAGAAGUUCAACUCAGGUCUGAGGAGUUUACUUCUUAGUGCAGUCUCCAUGGAAGAAAUCUGGGCCUCUUGGAGUCCACCAUGCUUUGGGGAAUGCAAGCUCCCUUCAUGGAGAGGCCACACAGAAAGAGCUAACAGAGGGAGGGGCCAGUCCUGGGCCCCACAUCAUCCCAGUUAAGCACCCCACUGUGAGUUAAGGAGACACCUUGGAUGUCCAGCCUGGAAAGCUUGAAGGUGACCUCACCCCAGCCACUGACAGACCACGUUCAGCUGAGGAUCCAAGCCUUGAGAAUAUGAGAGAAGGAACUAUGGUCUGGAACCACUAUGCUUUGGAGCAGUUUGUUACACUGAUGACUAAAUUGCCACAAAAAGAGAAAUUAGAGAUGCGGGGGGCGGGGUUGGUGGUGAAUCAGGGUUUCUAAGUGUAAUCUUACACAUGCAUUGUAGCUGUAAUCAUUGAUAACAUAUUUUGGCUUUUCCCCCCUGAAAGUUUUACAAUAGAUGAUUUACAAUGCACAAAAUAAGUGUAUGUCCAUGUUUAACAAAAACACCUUACUUUUUAAAAGUGUCUGAUGUUUUAUUU